rnacentral:rRNA from 1 species
AUUGAACGCUGGCGGCAGGCCUAACACAUGCAAGUCGAGGUCGGGGGUUUUCGGACCUAGCGGCGGACGGGUGAGUAAUGCGUAGGAAGCUGCCCGAUAGGAGGGGGAUACCAGUUGGAAACGACUUGUUAAUACCGCAUAAUGUCUACGGACCAAAGUGUGGGACCUUCGGGCCACAUGCUAUCGGAUGCGCCUACGUG